GAUGAACGCUGGCGGCGUGCUUAACACAUGCAAGUCGAACGGAAAGGCCGAAGCUUGCUUCGGUACUCGAGUGGCGAACGGGUGAGUAACACGUGGGUGAUCUGCCCUGUACUUCGGGAUAAGCUUGGGAAACUGGGUCUAAUACCGGAUAUGACAAUCUCUUGGAUGGGGUUGUGGAAAGCUUUUGCGGUAUGGGAUGAGCUCGCGGCCUAUCAGCUUGUUGGUGGGGUAAUGGCCUACCAAGGCGUCGACGGGUAGCCGGCCUGAGAGGGUGUACGGCCACAUUGGGACUGAGAUACGGCCCAGACUCCUACGGGAGGCAGCAGUGGGGAAUAUUGCACAAUGGGCGCAAGCCUGAUGCAGCGACGCCGCGUGGGGGAUGACGGCCUUCGGGUUGUAAACUCCUUUCGCAACCGACGAAGCUUUUGUGACGGUAGGUGGAGAAGAAGCACCGGCUAACUACGUG
rnacentral:rRNA from 1 species